rnacentral:misc_RNA from 1 species
AAAAAAGAGCUCCUUUCCUUCUGGGAACUUUAAGCUCAUCAAUUCUAAUGGAUCAUAACUUCUAAUCAAUACAAAUCCUCCCAUGAUUGCUGGCGCUAUAUUAUCAGCAUGAUAGCCUGAAACUUUGGCUUCAGAUUCCAGUCCAGCAAGAACCAAAUCCUUAACUUCUAAUUUCCCACCAAAAAUCUCGUUAACAGCCACAGCAGCUGCCGCAGCACUUGCGGCGCUCGAUCCAAGGCCGCUCCCCAAGGGAAGGCCUUUUUCAAGGGUUAGCGAAAGACCCACCGACCGUAUGUUGAGCAUUUUCAUGGUAGCAAUAGCGGCGAUUCCGGCGCAGUUCCAGAGAGGAUUCUUGGAGAGCUUUAUACUAGCGUGGGUUCCACAAAUGUCAGAGAUGGAGAUCUCGCCGGGAUGCACAGAGGGGUCGAUGCG